rnacentral:sRNA from 1 species
UUGGGCGAGGAUGUCCGUGGUUCCACUCAGAAGCGACGUUUUUGCUUCGCAAAAACUCGCGUCCAGAAGUGUACACGGAUGUACACUUCUGGACAGGC